rnacentral:lncRNA from 1 species
AAACAAAAUAUGAAAAUUUUUUUUGCACUAAUGGAGUCAUUUAUGCGACACGGCAGAUAGAUAAUUUAAAAAAUAUAUAAAACAACGACAAAGCAAGAGAAAACAUCGAUGUAAAAAGUGACGAUAAGGAGUGGAAUUUAUUAUUACCGAUAAAGAAAAAUAACAGCCGAAGAAAGUGAAAAAAAAAACUUGGCCCCACGCAUAGGUGUGAUUCGGUUCCGUUAAAACAAAAAAAAAAAAAAAAAUUCAAUUUGGUUCAAGUAAAGUCAGAAAAAAAUAUGUGAAGGACUUGACUAUGUUCAGAAAAACCUACACUCAAUAAUAAUUAAUUUGGUUCAAACAAAAUAAAGAGAAAAAAUUCAUUCAGUUCAAGUAAAGAAAAAAAAAAUGAAAAGUUUGAGCCGAUUCGGAAUGAAACACACAUUCAAUAAUGAAAGAACCGUUGCGCCGUGACAAAUAUUAAGCAAAUAAUAAUAUAUAUAAAU